rnacentral:rRNA from 1 species
UGGAAGUAAAAGUCGUAACAAGGUCUCCGUUGGUGAACCAGCGGAGGGAUCAUUACCGAGUUUACAACUCCCAAACCCAAUGUGAACGUUACCAAACUGUUGCCUCGGCGGGAACUCAUGCCCCGGGUGCGUCGCAGCCCCGGACCAAGGCGCCCGCCGGAGGACCAACCAAAACUCUUUUUGUAUACCCCCUCGCGGGUUUUUUAUAAUCUGAGCCUUCUCGGCGCCUCUCGUAGGCGUUUCGAAAAUGAAUCAAAACUUUCAACAACGGAUCUCUUGGUUCUGGCAUCGAUGAAGAACGCAGCGAAAUGCGAUAAGUAAUGUGAAUUGCAGAAUUCAGUGAAUCAUCGAAUCUUUGAACGCACAUUGCGCCCGCCAGUAUUCUGGCGGGCAUGCCUGUCCGAGCGUCAUUUCAACCCUCGAACCCCUCCGGGGGGUCGGCGUUGGGGAUCGGCCUCCCUCUGCGGGGGCCGUCUCCGAAAUACAGUGGCGGUCUCGCCGCAGCCUCUCCUGCGCAGUAGUUUGCACACUCGCAUCGGGAGCGCGGCGCGUCCACAGCCGUUAAACACCCAACUUCUGAAAUGUUGACCUCGGAUCAGGUAGGAAUACCCGCUGAACUUAAGCAUAUCAAUAAGCGGAGGA